rnacentral:rRNA from 1 species
GACGAACGCUGGCGGCGUGCUUAACACAUGCAAGUCGAACGGAAAGGCCCUGCUUUUGUGGGGUUCUCGAGUGGCGAACGGGUGAUUAACACGUUAGUAACCUGCCCUUGACUUUGGGAUAACUUCAGGAAACUGGGGCUAAUACCGGAUAGGAGCUCCUGCUGCAUGGUGGGGGUUGGAAAGUUUCGGCGGUUGGGGAUGGACUCGCGGCUUAUCAGCUUGUUGGUGGGGUAGUGGCUUACCAAGGCUUUGACGGGUAGCCGGCCUGAGAGGGUGACCGGCAACAUUGGGACUGAGAUACGGCCCAGACUCCUACGGGAGGCAGCAGUGGGGAAUAUUGCACAAUGGGCGGAAGCCUGAUGCAGCAACGCAGCGUGCGGGAUGACGGCCUUCGGGUUGUAAACCGCUUUCGCCUGUGACGAAGCGUGAGUGACGGUAAUGGGUAAAGAAGCACCGGCUAACUACGUG